AUUGGAAGUAAAAGUCGUAACAAGGUUUCCGUAGGUGAACCUGCGGAAGGAUCAUUAUUGAAUGAACUUGGUGUGGUUGUUGCUGGCCCUUUCGGGGGCAUGCCUUUCGGGGGCAUGUGCACACCCAUCAUCCUCAUCUCUCCCCCUGUGCACCUCUUGUAGACUUGGAUUGACUUUCCGAGGCAACUCGGUCGGGAGGACUUGCUGGCAUUAACUGGCUUUCCUUGCAUUUCCAAGUCUAUGUUUUUUCAUAUACCCCAUUGAAUGUAACAGAAUGUAACAUAUUGGGCCUUUGUGCCUAUAAAAACUUAUACAACUUUCAGCAACGGAUCUCUUGGCUCUCGCAUCGAUGAAGAACGCAGCGAAAUGCGAUAAGUAAUGUGAAUUGCAGAAUUCAGUGAAUCAUCGAAUCUUUGAACGCACCUUGCGCUCCUUGGUAUUCCGAGGAGCAUGCCUGUUUGAGUGUCAUUAAAUUCUCAACUAUUAUCAGCUUUUGCUGAUGAUGGCUUGGAUAUGGGGGUUUAUUUUGCUGGCUUCACAGAAUGUCAGCUCCCCUUAAAUGCAUUAGCUGGUGCCCCGCGUGGACUGUCUAUUGGUGUGAUAAUUAUCUACGCCGUGGACAUCUACAAUCAUAUGGGUUUGCACUGCUUCCAACCGUCUGUUUACUC
rnacentral:rRNA from 1 species